UACAGAGGGUGCAAGCGUUGCUCGGAAUUAUUGGGCGUAAAGGGUAGGUAGGUGGUCUCGUUUGUCUGGGGUGAAAGCCUUGAGCUUAACUCAAGAAGUGCCUCGGAAACGGCGAGACUAGAGUCUUGGAGAGGGUCGUGGAAUUCCCGGUGUAGCGGUGAAAUGCGUAGAGAUCGGGAGGAACACCAGCGGCGAAGGCGGCGACCUGGACAAGUACUGACACUCAACUACGAAAGCGUGGGGAGCAAACAGG
rnacentral:rRNA from 1 species